CAGUGAAGAUGACAACAGCCGCGACACUCCCUGCUUAAUACCACCGAUAUCUGUUCGGCCAGCGUGGUCCUCCGAAGCCCAUGGGCAUUGUGCCUUAAUUACAUCUUAAUCAAUGCAGCAUAGGUUUCUUAGAAAACUCCGUGUUUCUACUGGGUGUGACUUAAAGAUGGCAUCUUUAGACACUCUAUGAAAUAUACUGAUGUUGCUCAACAGGCUUCCAAAGUGGGUUUUUAUUUAUUCCUCUUACACAUCUUCUGCUGCAGAAUCUUUACUUCCUGCGUCCAUGGCCCCGCUGAUUUCCGCUAGCUGCUUUCUUCAACACGGAGCAGGCUCCCUGCUGCGGAUCGGGACCCAGCUUUUACAUAGGGUGAAAAGUAGGAAAGACCCUCAAUGUUCUUCAGCAGAGAGCAAAAGACCACGUUAAUGGAUGUUGGCGUCUCCGCAGCGUGGAGUCACACUACGUGAUAGCAUUUUCUGCAGUGGUGGAAUUGUCCUCUACCUUCUCUGUCCCCCAUGGGAUCCACGUGGUUGCCGAGCACUUGAAACCUGGUGAGUGCAAUUGAGGAUCUGAAUUUAAAACUUUAUUUAAAACUUUAUUUAUCUCCAAUUAUCUUAAAUUCAAGUUGAAAUAGAUCCCAUACGGCUAGUGGAUACCACACUGGACAGCAUGGGACUAGAGACUACAAUUCAGCCACUAAAGAGGAGACACAGCAAAAGAAAAAACAUGUAAAUUAUUUUAAAAAGCCACGUACUGAACGAUUUUAUAUGUAGCAUAGGUCAAUUUUCUUCCCAAUAUUUGUAUAAGUACAAAUAUAUGUAAGUAAACAUGUACAACAUGUCUGAAUACUACACAUUUGUAAUCUCUGGAGAAAGGAGUUGAAAUGAGAGUCAGAGUGAACAAGACUUGGGCAGUUGACUCUACGUUUUAUGAUAAUGUCAUCUGUGCCACUUGGCUAAAUUUUUAAAUAAUUUUACAGAAGCAAGAAAGAUUUAGGCAAAAGUGAAUAAAGAAAUUAUAAGGCAUAUGCA
ensembl:lncRNA